rnacentral:rRNA from 1 species
GAUGAACGCUGGCGGCGUGCCUAACACAUGCAAGUCAAGCGAUUCUCUUCGGAGAAGAGCGGCGGACGGGUGAGUAACGCGUGGGUAACCUGCCCUGUACACACGGAUAACAUACCGAAAGGUAUGCUAAUACGAGAUAAUAUACUUUUAUCGCAUGGUAGAAGUAUCAAAGCUCCGGCGGUACAGGAUGGACCCGCGUCUGAUUCGCUAGUUGGUAAGGUAACGGCUUACCAAGGCGACGAUCAGUAGCCGACCUGAGAGGGUGAUCGGCCACAUUGGAACUGAGACACGGUACAAACUCCUACGGGAGGCAGCAGUGGGGAAUAUUGCACAAUGGGCGAAAGCCUGAUGCAGCAACGCCGCGUGAGCGAUGAAGGCCUUCGGGUCAUAAAGCUCUGUCCUCAAGGAAGAUAAUGACGGUACUUGAGGAGGAAGCCCCGGCUAACUACGUGCCAGCCGCCGCCGUAA